UUUAUCACGAUGAAGGCACACUGUCUGCUAUUACCUUUGUUUCUUUUUGCAGCAAUACUUGCAACAGGUAGCUCAUAUCCCUGUCACAGUAUUGGAGGAUAUUGCACCUCGCGAAGAUGUAGAAUAGGAUACUAUUGCAAUCCAGAGGACGAUAUAACUAGUCAUCCAGAUUGUUCGUAUACACAACAUUGCUGUCAACCUUAUAAUGGCAGAUACUAUGGUGGGCGCUAAACCUUCUCCCAAAACAGCUAACUGAUAUUGAGAAGUAAAUGAAAAUAAAAUAAAAUGUCAGAUCAAACUC